UACGUAGGGUGCAAGCGUUAUCCGGAAUUAUUGGGCGUAAAGAGCUCGUAGGCGGUUUGUCGCGUCUGCUGUGAAAACUGGAGGCUCAACCUCCAGCCUGCAGUGGGUACGGGCAGACUAGAGUGCGGUAGGGGAGAUUGGAAUUCCUGGUGUAGCGGUGGAAUGCGCAGAUAUCAGGAGGAACACCGAUGGCGGAAGGCAGGUCGUCUGGGCAUUAACUGACGCUGAGGAGCGAAAGCAUGGGGAGCGAACAGG
rnacentral:rRNA from 1 species